GCCGCCGUUCGCCUGCUUCCCAUGACACAUCUUCUGCCCGCCAAAGGCAUCCGGUUCGCCGCCGCCUGCAACGAAAGAACCGUUUCGCUUCCACACUUGACACAGUUAAUUUUCUUCGCAUUAUGGCACCUGAAGUUCUGCGUAAGAGAACCCAGUGUCUUUCACCUCCAGCUCACAAAUUCGUCACUCACUGAAGGCCACACGGAAAGAAGGAGGAAUUGGAGUGGAGUCCCCAUGAGAGAGGAGAAUGAGAGAGAUGAAGCAGAUG